UACGGAGGGUGCAAGCGUUGUCCGGAAUCACUGGGCGUAAAGGGCGCGUAGGCGGCUCGGUAAGUAGGGGGUGAAAUCCUGCGGCUCAACCGCAGGGCUGCCUUCUAAACUGUCGAGCUCGAGCACAGUAGAGGCAGAUGGAAUUCCCGGUGUAGCGGUGGAAUGCGUAGAGAUCGGGAAGAACAUCAGUGGCGAAGGCGGUCUGCUGGGCCGUUGCUGACGCUGAGGCGCGACAGCGUGGGGAGCAAACAGG
rnacentral:rRNA from 1 species